rnacentral:precursor_RNA from 1 species
GUUGAGGUCUAUCCCGGUGGGGCUUUUUCUGUAGCCAUACAUCGUUGGAAACGCCUCAUAGA